AUACAUACACACACACACACAC
rnacentral:miRNA from 1 species